rnacentral:piRNA from 1 species
UCUGAUUCGCGCCUGGCUCAA